CAGUCGAACGGUAAGGGUCCAGCUUGCUGGGGUACACGAGUGGCGAACGGGUGAGUAACACGUGGGUGACCUGCCCUGCACUUCGGGAUAAGCCUGGGAAACUGGGUCUAAUACCGGAUAGGACCGCACCGUGAGGGUGUGGUGGAAAGUUUUUUCGGUGUGGGAUGGGCCCGCGGCCUAUCAGCUUGUUGGUGGGGUAAUGGCCUACCAAGGCGGCGACGGGUAGCCGGCCUGAGAGGGUGGACGGCCACAUUGGGACUGAGACACGGCCCAGACUCCUACGGGAGGCAGCAGUGGGGAAUAUUGCACAAUGGGCGGAAGCCUGAUGCAGCGACGCCGCGUGGGGGAUGACGGCCUUCGGGUUGUAAACUCCUUUCACCAUCGACGAAGGGUUUCUGACGGUAGAUGGAGAAGAAGCACCGGCUAACUACGUGCCAGCAGCCGCGGUAAUACGUAGGGUGCGAGCGUUGUCCGGAAUUACUGGGCGUAAAGAGCUCGUAGGUGGUUUGUCGCGUCGUCUGUGAAAUUCCGGGGCUUAACUCCGGGCGUGCAGGCGAUACGGGCAUAACUUGAGUACUGUAGGGGAGACUGGAAUUCCUGGUGUAGCGGUGAAAUGCGCAGAUAUCAGGAGGAACACCGGUGGCGAAGGCGGGUCUCUGGGCAGUAACUGACGCUGAGGAGCGAAAGCAUGGGGAGCGAACAGGAUUAGAUACCCUGGUAGUCCAUGCCGUAAACGGUGGGCGCUAGGUGUGGGUUUCCUUCCACGGGAUCCGUGCCGUAGCUAACGCAUUAAGCGCCCCGCCUGGGGAGUACGGCCGCAAGGCUAAAACUCAAAGGAAUUGACGGGGGCCCGCACAAGCGGCGGAGCAUGUGGAUUAAUUCGAUGCAACGCGAAGAACCUUACCUGGGCUUGACAUAUACAGGAUCGCGCCAGAGAUGGUGUUUCCCUUGUGGCUUGUAUACAGGUGGUGCAUGGUUGUCGUCAGCUCGUGUCGUGAGAUGUUGGGUUAAGUCCCGCAACGAGCGCAACCCUUGUCUUAUGUUGCCAGCACGUUGUGGUGGGGACUCGUAAGAAACUGCCGGGGUUAACUCGGAGGAAGGUGGGGAUGACGUCAAAUCAUCAUGCCCCUUAUGUCCAGGGCUUCACACAUGCUACAAUGGUCGGUACAGUGGGUUGCCAGUCCGUGAGGGCGAGCUAAUCCCGCAAAGCCGGUCUCAGUUCGGAUCGGGGUCUGCAACUCGACCCCGUGAAGUCGGAGUCGCUAGUAAUCGCGAGAUCAGCAA
rnacentral:rRNA from 1 species